GCCUGAUGUUCAUAUGAUGAAAUCAUAAUCUUUCAGUCAGUUUAAUUGAAGUCUGGAGCUGGCAUGUCAACUAACUGCUAGUAGUCUGUUGUUAUUUAUGUAUUAUUGUCAUUUUGUUUAUUUUCUUUGGUUACAUCUUCUGACAUCAGACUCGUACUUCUCUUGAACUGAAUUUUAAUGUGCGUAUUGUUAUGCGUUUACUUUUCUACAUUGGCUAGAGAUAUAGGGGAGGGUUGAGAUCUCACAAACAUGUUUAACUCCGCCGCAUUUUUGCGCCUGUCCCAAGUCAGGAGCCUCUGGCCUUUGUUAGUCUUGUAUUAUUUUAAUUUUAGUUUCUUGUGUACAAUUUGGAAAUUAGUAUGACGUUCAUUAUCACUGAACUAGUAUAUAUUUGUUUAGGGGCCAGUUGCAGGACGCCUCCGGGUGCGGGAAUUUCUCGCUACAUUGAAGACCUGUUGGUGACCUUCUGCUGUUGUUUUUUUCUAUGGUCGGGUUGUUGUCUCUUUGGCACAUUCCCCAUUUCCAUUCUCAAUUUUA
rnacentral:lncRNA from 1 species